rnacentral:rRNA from 1 species
GAUGAACGCUGGCGGCGUGCCUAAUACAUGCAAGUCGAACGGGGAGUAGCAAUACUCUUAGUGGCGAACGGGUGAGUAACGCGUUGGUACCUGCCCCGAAGCGGGGGAUAACGGACCGAAAGGUCCGCUAAUACCCCAUGUGCUCGGUAACGAGUAAAGGUGAAAACCACUUUGGGAGGGGCCUGCGUCCCAUCAGCUAGUUGGUAAGGUAACGGCUUACCAAGGCGAUGACGGGUAGGGGACCUGAGAGGGUGGCCCCCCACAAUGGAACUGAGACACGGUCCAUACACCUACGGGUGGCAGCAGUAGUGAAUAUUGGUAAUGGGCGCAAGCCUGAACCAGCAACGCCGCGUGUGCGAUGACGGCCUUCGGGUUGUAAAGCACUUUUGACUGGGGCGAGGAAGGACGGUACCGGUCGAAUCAGCCUCGGCUAACUACGUG